UACGUAGGGGGCAAGCGUUGUCCGGACUUAUUGGGCGUAAAGAGCGUGUAGGCGGCCAAACAGGUCAGCUGUGAAAACUCGAGGCUCAACCUCGAGACGUCGGUUGAAACCGUUUGGCUAGAGUCCGGAAGAGGAGAGUGGAAUUCCCGGUGUAGCGGUGAAAUGCGCAGAUAUCGGGAAGAACACCCGUGGCGAAGGCGGCUCUCUGGGACGGUACUGACGCUGAGACGCGGAAAGCGUG
rnacentral:rRNA from 1 species